UACGGGGGGAGCAAGCGUUGUUCGGAUUUACUGGGCGUAAAGGGCGCGUAGGCGGUCAGCACAAGUCAGUUGUGAAAUCUCCGGGCUUAACUCGGAAAGGUCAACUGAUACUGUGCGACUAGAGUGCAGAAGGGGCAACUGGAAUUCUCGGUGUAGCGGUGAAAUGCGUAGAUAUCGGGAGGAACACCAGUGGCGAAGGCGAGUCUCUGGGAUGAUGCUGACGCUGAGGCGCGAAAGCCAGGGGAGCAAACGGG
rnacentral:rRNA from 1 species